GAAAUAAUAGUUUAAGAAAAAUUUUUAAUUUGCAAUUAAAAGAUAUAAUAUUAUAUUUAUUUU
rnacentral:tRNA from 1 species